rnacentral:ncRNA from 1 species
AUACACCACAAGGGGAGCUUUGGCUGAGAGUGAACGAGUAAGUUCUUACCCUUCGAACCUGUAAGUUAACACUUGCGCAGGGAUGUGGAUGGAAAACCGG